rnacentral:rRNA from 1 species
UUUACGGAGAGUUUGAUCCUGGCUCAGGACGAACGCUGGCGGCGUGCUUAAUACAUGCAAGUCGAACGGAGCCUAGCUGGUGGUUUACUACCGGCGAAAGCUUAGUGGCGGACGGGUGAGUAACGCGUGGGUAAUCUGCCCCUAAGUCCGGGAUAACAGAGCGAAAGUUCUGCUAAUACCGGAUACUCUUCCCGGGUCGCAUGGUCUGGGAAGGAAAGGUUUACUGCUUAGGGAUGAGCCCGCGUCCCAUUAGCUAGUUGGUGAGGUAACGGCUCACCAAGGCGACGAUGGGUAGCCGGCCUGAGAGGGUGGACGGCCACACUGGGACUGAGACACGGCCCAGACUCCUACGGGAGGCAGCAGUAGGGAAUUUUCCGCAAUGGGCGAAAGCCUGACGGAGCAACGCCGCGUGAGGGAAGAAGGUCUUCGGAUCGUAAACCUUUGUCAUCGGGGACGAUCAUGACGGUACCCGAGGAGGAAGCCCCGGCUAACUACGUGCCAGCAGCCGCGGUAAUACGUAGGGGGCGAGCGUUGUCCGGAAUUACUGGGCGUAAAGGGCGCGUAGGCGGCCCAAUAAGUCAGAUGUGAAAAACCUGGGCUUAACCGAGGUCUUGCAUUUGAAACUGUUGGGCUUGAGGACAGGAGAGGAAAGCGGAAUUCCCAGUGUAGCGGUGAAAUGCGUAGAUAUUGGGAGGAACACCAGUGGCGAAGGCGGCUUUCUGGACUGCACCUGACGCUGAGGCGCGAAAGCCAGGGGAGCGAACGGGAUUAGAUACCCCGGUAGUCCUGGCCGUAAACGAUGGAUACUAGGUGUGGGAGGUAUCGACCCCUUCCGUGCCGUAGCCAACGCACUAAGUAUCCCGCCUGGGGAGUACGGCCGCAAGGCUGAAACUCAAAGGAAUUGACGGGGGCCCGCACAAGCGGUGGAGCAUGUGGUUUAAUUCGAUGCAACGCGAAGAACCUUACCAGGUCUUGACAUCCCUCUGACGGAUACAGAGAUGUAUCUUUCCUUCGGGACAGAGGAGACAGGUGGUGCAUGGCUGUCGUCAGCUCGUGUCGUGAGAUGUUGGGUUAAGUCCCGCAACGAGCGCAACCCCUAUCCUUAGUUGCCAGCGGUACGGCCGGGGACUCUAAGGAGACUGCCGGUGACAAAUCGGAGGAAGGUGGGGAUGACGUCAAGUCAUCAUGCCCCUUAUGACCUGGGCUACACACGUGCUACAAUGGCCGGUACAGAGCGCAGCGAAGCCGUGAGGCGGAGCGAAUCGCAAAAAGCCGGUCCCAGUUCGGAUCGGAGUCUGCAACUCGACUCCGUGAAGGAGGAAUCGCUAGUAAUCUCGGGUCAGCAUACCGAGGUGAAUACGUUCCCGGGCCUUGUACACACCGCCCGUCACACCACGAAAGUCAACUACACCCGAAGCCGGUGCGCUAACCGCAAGGAGGCAGCCGUCUAAGGUGGAGUUGAUGAUUGGGGUGAAGUCGUAACAAGGUAGCCGUAUCGGAAGGUGCGGCUGGAUCACCUCCUUUCUAAGGA